UACAGAGGGUGCAAGCGUUGUUCGGAAUUAUUGGGCGUAAAGCGCGUGUAGGCGGCUUUGCAAGUCGGGUGUGAAAGCCCUCAGCUCAACUGAGGAAGUGCGCCCGAAACUGCAGAGCUUGAGUGCCGGAGAGGGUGGCGGAAUUCCCCGAGUAGAGGUGAAAUUCGUAGAUAUGGGGAGGAACACCGGUGGCGAAGGCGGCCACCUGGACGGUAACUGACGCUGAGACGCGAAAGCGUGGGGAGCAAACAGG
rnacentral:rRNA from 1 species